UUAAUUUUCGAUACACAGUUAGAAACGGACCGCGCAAUGCCGACGGUCUAACGAUAAAAUUCAAUAUACGCGCUACUCCGUUCGCUCGCAUGUGAUUUAGAGAUCAGCCUGCGAGAUUUUAACGUUAGACAUUAAGCAUCUCCAUUCUCCCACAACGCCGCACCGCUACGAUGAACUACUUCUUCUGACGAUUCCCUCGAGACUCGUAACGGCGAUUCUCUCGAAACUCCUCGGAGUUUCAUCCGUGCGGGGUUUUUUUUCUCUCCUCGCACGCGGAACGAACAGCCUAUGCCGCGACGCGUGGACGAGAGAAAGAGAGAGAGAGAGAGAGGGAGGGAGAGAAAGAAAAACGGGAGAUCGAUCAGCCGGGCCGCCAUGCACGCCUUCGACUCGGGUUGUUGUUUCUCUUCUUCCUCUCGUUCCCCUUUCGAGGACGAGGUGAAGGACGUGGUGCAACCGGGAUAUGACGAGUGAGCGAGAGAGAGGACAACGCCCUUGCAUCACGACUGGACUCUUUUCCUCUUUCUCUCUCUCUCUCUUUCUCUCCCUCCUUCCUUCUCUUUCUCUCUUUAUUGGACGAUCGACGGGCGGAAAUCAAUUCCGGAGCACCCCUCCAAAACGAGAGAAGGGGUGAAGGGGGGGGGAUGGUCCCUGGGACUCUACGCAUGCAUAUACAAUACGCUUGAGGCUCAGCUCUCUCGCGAUGCAGUAUUGUUUACGUUAUGUCAGCGGCGAGAAUGACACAUAAUAAAUUAUUCGCCAUGUAUGUAUAGCUUUACCUUUUAGUUUUCCCUUAAUAAUGUAAUAACUUCAGUUCCCCCCUCCCCCCCGAGACCUGUAAAAUACGCGGCAAAGAGAGACACUUACCCGAUAUGUCACGUAAAAGUGUAAAAAAAUAUCGGAAACAAAAACUGUCAAAACUGAUAAAUUUUCCCAAUAGCCGAGAAUUUAAUUUUCACAUCGCGAGAAAGUGCCAGAUAAAUCACGUUCACACGGACAAAUUAAUGUUUUACGAGUGGGAUAGGUUCUCCGGUCAUCGCAAGGCGUAUAGGGAAAAACACUGCCCGCUCGGGAAGCUUUUCCAGCCGCGAGAGAGUGCAGAGUGGAGGCGCGUGAAAAUGUAAUCUUCACAGCGGCAAACCGAAUCGAACGACCGCAAAGCCCGCACCGGGGGGUGCCCGCGCUUGGGUCGGCGGGUGCCUCGAAGUGCCUCGAAGGCACCUGCUAGGACCGAAGAGGGAUUACGAGCGGCGCGAAUUCGUGCCAGUCGAGUCCCCGGGGGGAGAGCGCGAAAAGGAAAACGAAUUCCUGACUGAAACAACAGCACCUGCUGUGUCCCGCUUUUACACCGCGCGCGAAUCAUUCACUCGGAGGUUUCUUAUGCGGUUGAAGGAACAGACGGCGUCCUUCCGCUCUG